GACGAACGCUGGCGGCGUGCCUAAUACAUGCAAGUCGAGCGAAGUUUUUCUGGUGCUUGCACCGGAAAAACUUAGCGGCGAACGGGUGAGUAACACGUAAAGAACCUGCCUCAUAGACUGGGACAACUAUUGGAAACGAUAGCUAAUACCGGAUAACAGCAUUAACUGCAUGGUUGAUGUUUAAAAGUUGGUUAUGCUAACACUAUGAGAUGGCUUUGCGGUGCAUUAGCUAGUUGGUGGGGUAAAGGCCUACCAAGGCGACGAUGCAUAGCCGACCUGAGAGGGUGAUCGGCCACACUGGGACUGAGACACGGCCCAGACUCCUACGGGAGGCAGCAGUAGGGAAUCUUCCGCAAUGGGCGAAAGCCUGACGGAGCAACGCCGCGUGAGUGAAGAAGGAUUUCGGUUCGUAAAGCUCUGUUGUUAGGGAAGAAUGAUUGUGUAGUAACUAUACACAG
rnacentral:rRNA from 1 species